rnacentral:rRNA from 2 species
CGCGGUUAGACGUCGGAGGCAAACGUUAGUUGGAAUGGUAUAAAGGAACCGCAGCUACGGAUAAAAUUUGUAGAUAAUCUAGAAUGCCUAAAUAAAUGAAAUAGUAGACUUAGCAGUGAGAUAUUAAUUUAUCCACAAAGAGGGAUAAUAUUCGCAUAGUGCAAUUAGACUAACCAAAUAGGAAACUAACUCAUUAUUAAGCAUUGACGUUGAGGGUUGAAGGCUAAAAUGGUUAAAUAGGAUUAGAUACCCUACUAAAUUUAGCAGCAAACGAUGAAUUCUAAGUUUAUCAUAUAAUAGAUAUGAUUCAAAAAGGUAAUCCAAAGAAUUCCACCUUAUUAGUAUGCGUUCACACGUGAAAAUAAAUACAUUAGCGGGUUGUGAACACCAACAGCGGAGUCUGUUAU